rnacentral:lncRNA from 1 species
UGUAGAGGUUUGGUUAACCAGUUCUUGGCAUUGAUCAUAUUUAUAUAGACCCCUGCCAUACGAUCUCCAUGUUUCUGCUAUAUCUUCUCUGUUUGUUCUCCGAGGUCCAGUGUUGUCUUCAAUGGUCUAAGUUCUUGCUUAGAAGUCUCUUGUUAGAAGGAAAACUCUAUACUUGGCUGUAUACCAUAGCUAUAACAACAAUUUUUUAAUGGUAGGAGGUAGGAUCCCACACCAAUUCUGUCCAGGGGCCCCCACACCAAUUCUGCCCAGGGGCCCCCACUGCCUUAAAUCCGGCUCUGCCUACAAAUAUUACUCUGACAUGCAGCUCACACGCAACAUUUUUGUUGUGUUUACUUUAUAUAUUUAAAAUUUCUGUCUAUUUUUAACAUUAUGGAUUGUCUACAGCGGUUUUGUAUCAAAUACCUUGAAAAUCAUUAAAAAUAUUUGUUUCAAUAUUAUGUGA